GACGAACGCUGGCGGCGUGCUUAACACAUGCAAGUCGAACGGAAAGGCCCUGCUUUUGUGGGUUGCUCGAGUGGCGAACGGGUGAGUAACACGUUAGUAACCUGCCCUUUACUUUGGGAUAACUUCAGGAAACUGGGGCUAAUACCUGAUAGGAGCUCCUUCUGCAUGGUGGGGGUUGGAAAGUUUCGGCGGUUGGGGAUGGACUCGCGGCUUAUCAGCUUGUUGGUGGGGUAGUGGCUUACCAAGGCUUUGACGGGUAGCCGGCCUGAGAGGGUGACCGGCCACAUUGGGACUGAGAUACGGACCAGACUCCUACGGGAGGCAGCAGUGGGGAAUAUUGCACAAUGGGAGGAAGCCUGAGGCAGCAACGCCGCGUGCGGGAUGACGGCCUUCGGGUUGUAAACAGCUGUCGCCUGUGACGAAGCGUGAGUGACGGUAAUGGGUAAAGAAGCACCGGCUAACUACGUG
rnacentral:rRNA from 1 species